rnacentral:rRNA from 1 species
GACAGAGGUUGCAAACGUUGUUCGGAUUUACUGGGCAUAAAGCGCACGUAGGCGGUCCGUUAAGUCAUGUGUGAAAUCCCCCGGCUCAACCGGGGAAGUGCGCCUGAUACUGGCGGGCUAGAGGUCGAUAGGGGUAAGCGGAACUCCAGGUGGAGCGGUGAAAUGCGUAGAUAUCUGGAGGAACACCGGUGGCGAAAGCGACUCACUGGCUCGAAACUGACGCUGAGGUGCGAAAGCUAGGGUAGCAAACGGG